AUUGAACGCUGGCGGCAGGCCUAACACAUGCAAGUCGAGCGAGCGGCGGACGGGUGAGUAAUGUCUGGGAAACUGCCUGAUGGAGGGGGAUCACUACUGGAAACGGUAUCUAAUACCGCAUACCAUCAGAUGUGCCCAGAUGGGAUUAGCUAGUUGGUGGGGUAACGGCUCACCUAGGCGACGAUCCCUAGCUGGUCUGCGAGGAUGACCAGCAACACUGGAACUGGGGCACGGCCCGGACGCCUACGGGAGGCAGCAGUGGGGAAUAUGCGACAAUGGGCGAAAGCCUGAUGGAGCAAUGCCGCGUGUGUGAAGAGGGCCUUCGGGUUGUAAAGCACUUUCAGCGGGGAAGCGUUACCCGCAGAGAAAGCACCGGCUAACUACGUGCCAGCAGCCGCGGUAAUUC
rnacentral:rRNA from 1 species